AUUAAAGUCCUGACAAAUUUUUAAAGCUUUACUUUCAUCAAGAUUGAAGAUAUUAAGUAAUAAUUGAAAAUACAUUGUACUAAUACUCAAAACAUCAAAUGAACGUAGGAUUAGGGGUUACGGUUUAAUCGAAAUUUCAUGUUCCCCCGUGCUUUUAGGUAAAAUGAUUGUAUAAAAAACUCCCGCUAUUACAGAUAUAUGAGUAAUUUGUGACUAGAUACGCAAAUAAUAUGUUCCUCAUCGUACCGAACACAACUUUUAAAGCAAAUAACUAA